rnacentral:rRNA from 1 species
CCUACGGGAGGCAGCAGUGGGGAAUAUUGGACAAUGGGCGAAAGCCUGAUCCAGCAAUGCCGCGUGAGUGAUGAAGGCCUUCGGGUCGUAAAGCUCUUUUACCAGGGAUGAUAAUGACAGUACCUGGAGAAUAAGCUCCGGCUAACUCCGUGCCAGCAGCCGCGGUAAUACGGAGGGAGCUAGCGUUGUUCGGAAUUACUGGGCGUAAAGAGUACGUAGGCGGUUAUUCAAGUCAGAGGUGAAAGCCCGGGGCUCAACCCCGGAACUGCCUUUGAAACUAGAUAACUAGAGUCUUGGAGAGGUUAGUGGAAUUCCGAGUGUAGAGGUGAAAUUCGUAGAUAUUCGGAAGAACACCAGUGGCGAAGGCGACUAACUGGACAAGUACUGACGCUGAGGUACGAAAGCGUGGGGAGCAAACAGGAUUAGAUACCCUGGUAGUCCACGCCGUAAACGAUGAUAACUAGUUGUUCGGUCACUUGGUGACUGAGUGACGCAGCUAACGCAUUAAGUUAUCCGCCUGGGGAGUACGGUCGCAAGNUUAAAACUNAAGAUGACGNNGNGANGCGAGACGACACGAGGAGAG